rnacentral:tRNA from 1 species
GAGGGUGUAGCUCAGUGGUAGAGCGCAUGCUUAGCAUGCACAAGGCCUGGGUUCCAUCCCCAGUACUUCUA